CGUUAAAGAUUUGUGUUGUUGUUGCCCAGAAAAUGACAGAGAAAAGAAAAACAGACAUAAGAUCCUUUUUUCAGUAGGCCUACACCAAAACGCCAAGCAAAGGAGACAGAAAGAAGGAACAGGGAGACCAGGGACAGUCAGGUGGAGAGUCUCAGGUACACAUCAGUGUCUUUAAAAAAAAAUAACACACCGCAGUGCUGUACCGACCAUCAUUGUCCCCUUUGCCCCACUUCAAUAUACAAGCCCCGGUGUAGGCAAAAGGUUUUGCAGCACAUGGAGGUGCAUGUAAAGAAUGCCAUUCAACAUGAAGAUUUCUUCAUAACAAAAUGCCACAAGUCCUGCAGGAGUGGAAGCAGUGGUCACUUCCACUGCCCUUUCUGCCUCAAGACCACAAUAAAAAGGCAGGAUACACUGAGGCAUUUGCAGAUCUGUAGGCCGCCUCUCCAUGACGCCCAGUUGGACGCUGAUGCCGACUGCAGAGAGAUCGGCAUCACUUCCCAGACAGAGGAGUGCAAAGCAGGAUCUGUGAACCUACCUCAGCUCAGCACUGACAAACUGCCUGUAUCGUUACAUGAUAGUGAAAUACAAGGACAAAGAGACCCAGGAGAGAGACCCCAAGACCCACCGCCAGAAUCCUUCUUGCCUAUCAGUCCUAUCCUGGACAAUCCUCCCUGCAGAGUGAGCCGUGUAAAGUUGCCAAAUGUACUUUGUCCUCACUGUAAUGUGAAGUUCCAAAGAAAAAAUAUCAAGAAGCACAUUUACAGACAACACACCGAUAAAGCUGUCAGAGAUAUCACUGCAUAUUCCCAUGCUGUAUGCAUUGAUGAGAAGAAUGGGAUAUAUGCUGUGAAAAAAGUCGUUUCUUGGACCUUUUGUGCCUCUUCAUGUCCAAAAGAAAAACCUGGGGGAAAGAGCACAAAAUCAAGUGUGAGUCCAGGGAGUGCCAACAGGCCAGUGACUUUGCUGUCAGGAGUGGCUUGAAGACAUUUCAAUGCCAUCAUGUCUGCUCUCUUGACUACUGUUCAGCUAAUGCCACUGAUACUGUACUGAGUGAAGAAAUUCUGACUGAUAUGGCGGAAAACAAGUGGUUUGGAGAAAAACAGGAAACAGCAGUGUCUCCAGCUCCAGUCACAGGCAGCUACUGCCAGUGUGCCAGUCUCCUGCCUUGAAAUCAGAGCUGAAAUGGUACAUAUCAGUCUAUGAACCGAAUGUAAGCUAUUACAGCCGACUGGGACGAGUCGGCUGUAAUGGGAGGCAAAGAGGCCCAGGACAAUCCCCCCUGAACAGUCGGAACCUGUUGACCUGACCAAGGAAAUGGGGAUUUUGGAGAUUACAAGAUCUUUUCUCGAAGACAUAUUGCUUGAGGUGGUCCUCCAGGAUGGUGAUAAGGCACUGAUGACCUUGGCCCUAGUCUGUUCAGAGUCAUACUCAAGGAUGAAAACUUCCGGGAAAGAGCUCACUUUCUGUGGUUUGACACUAAGUAAAAAUGUGUGACUAAUUGGAGAAGGUUCUCCUCCAAAUACAAAAAAGAAUUCGGCACUGAGAUGUACUCAGUGAUGAACUGCUCUCAGUGCUAUUGUCCAUACAAGAGCUGCAUGUUGGGUUACGUUGGAAGAGGAAGGCGGGUGAGCUGCGGGGGAUAUAUUCUGAAGAUCCCCACCCAGGAUUCUGCAGCCAUUUCUGCCAACUAACAGCAGGAUUUCCUGAAGAGGGAUAACAAGGA